AUUGAACGCUGGCGGCAGGCCUAACACAUGCAAGUCGAGCGAGCGGCGGACGGGUGAGUAAUGUGUGGGAAACUGCCUGAUGGAGGGGGAUAACUACUGGAAACGGUAGCUAAUACCGCAUACCAUCAGAUGUGCCCAGGGGGGAUUAGCUAGUAGGUGGGGUAACGGCUCACCUAGGCGACGAUCCCUAGCUGGUCUGAGAGGAUGACCAGCAACACUGGAACUGAGACACGGUCCAGACUCCUACGGGAGGCAGCAGUGGGGAAUAUUGCACAAUGGGCGCAAGCCUGAGGCAGCAAUGCCGCGUGAGUGAAGAAGGCUUUCGGGUUGUAAAGCACUGUCAGCGGGGAGGCGGUACCCGAAGAAGAAGCACCGGCUAACUCCGUGCCAGCAGCCGCGGUAAUUC
rnacentral:rRNA from 1 species